rnacentral:tRNA from 1 species
GGGAAAGAAGCACGAUGGUAGUGUGGUUGGCUUGAAACUAGCAUGAGGGGGUUCAAUUCCUUCCUUUCUCG